GCCAGGUCCAUACCUGGGACUUCCAGAGAAAGUUAGUCAGGUUCUUUUAAAGGCAAACCCCACAAGGCUCUGCACUUGCUGCCUUUCUCCAACUGGGGCAAGCAUACUCCUGACAUACUUCCUGACUGUGUCUGAUCGUGCACAUCCUGUGCAGUCGGGGCAACCAACCUUUGCUUAUAUAAGUGGAAACUGUGGCUUGUUAUCUUCCUUGAGCCACAGCCCCAGCAUCCCAGGAGGUUAUCUGUCCCUUGGGCCGGUGGGACUUACCGAUUAGAGACAUUUUUGUGUUGGAGAUCUCUUAAGCACAGCAGUUUAAACUUCAGUCCUCACAGUUUGAAGACUGCAACCCUAAGGGAAGGGUGUACCAUUCCCUGGCUGAGCUAAGCACCAGCAACCGUCAGUCCCUGCUUCCUGGUGGAACAAUCUAAGAAGACAUUUGCCAACACCACCGUUCACUCCUUUACACUUCAAAUGCAUAUUUCCUAAGGACAAAGACACUCCCUUUCAUAACCCAUCACUGUCCCGACCAAAAUCAGGAAUGCUAAUACCAGUUCAAUACUAUUGUCUACUUUGCAAUCUAUAUUAAAAUCUUGCUAACUAUUCUGGUGAUGUCCUCAACAGCUUAUUUAUUUGUCUGGUUAUGUAGUGGUGAUGGAUUGAGCCAGGUAGGGCCUUGUGUGUGAGAGUAGGCACUCUCCCAAGAUUCACCCCUGUCCCUCCUUGAUAGCAUUUUCCCUUCAUCUAAGAUUCUAGAUGACAGACAAUUGUCUCUGCUUUAAGAUCUGGAAGAAUAUUCCCCUCACCCCCGCUUUUGCCUUUCUGACAUGAAGAGUACAGGCUGGUUGUUGUGUGAAAUGUCCUUUGUGUAGUGUAUCUGAUGCUUUUCUCUUUUCCUCUGUGUGUGUGUGUGUGUGUGUGUGUGUGUGUGUGUGUGUUGGGUGGACGUGUCCACAUUUCCAGACAGCUAGAAGGACAUCGGACAUGUUGUUUUUUUUUAUUCUCUGCCCUGCUCCUUUGAGACAAAGUCUCUUACUGUAAAGGUUAGUGUUGUCUGUCAACUUGACAGGCUCUCGAGUCCCAUAGAAUGCAGCCCCUGGCGGUGUCUGUAAGUGGUUAUCUCGGUUAGGCUGCAGUGGAAAGACCCACCCCAGAAGCAGGCAGCAAUGGUUCCGUGGCCUUGGGUCCUGGACUGCACAAAAGGAGGAAGGAAGGGGGUCGCUCAGGAACGGUGUGCUCAGGAACGUGUGCGGCGGUGCGUCUCCGCUUUCUGGCUGUGGAUGUGACCUGAGCAGCUGCCAAGACCCCACUACAGGAGCAGAAGAAGCACGCACCCAACAGUGGGGUGCUUUGUCCCUCUGUCUUCCCUUUCCCCUUCUUCGCUCCCUUUGGUCCCCCCCUCUUUUCCUCUUCCCCUCUCCACCACUUUCUUUCCUGUUUGCUCUUCCUGUGCCCUCACCCCUGGCUACCACCCUCUCCCCCUGCUUCUUCUUUUUGAUACAGGGUCUCGUGUAUCAGACAGACUGACUUUGAAGUUACUAUGGAGUCAAGAGUGACUUGAACUCUUAAUUCGCCAGCUGCUCCCUCCCAAGAGGGAGGGUUAUAGGUGUGGUCCACCAACCCUGGGUCUUUCUUUUUAAAAUAAUACCUGACUGGA